rnacentral:rRNA from 1 species
UAAGGAAUUUUCCGCAAUGGGCGAAAGCCUGACGGAGCAAUGCCGCGUGGAGGAUGAAAGCCUGUGGGUCGUAAACUCCUUUUCUCAGAGAAGAAUUUUGACGGUAUCUGAGGAAUAAGCAUCGGCUAACUCUGUG